UACGGAGGAUCCGAGCGUUAUCCGGAUUUAUUGGGUUUAAAGGGUGCGUAGGUGGCUUUUUAAGUCAGGGGUGAAAGACGGUAGCUUAACUAUCGCAGUGCCCUUGAUACUGACGGGCUUGAAUGCAGCUGAGGUAGGCGGAAUGUGACAAGUAGCGGUGAAAUGCAUAGAUAUGUCACAGAACACCGAUUGCGAAGGCAGCUCGCUACACUAUUAUUGACGCUGAGGCACGAAAGCGUGGGGAUCAAACAGG
rnacentral:rRNA from 1 species